rnacentral:rRNA from 1 species
CCCUUAGAUGUUCUGGGCUGCACGCGCGCUACACUGAAGCGUUCAACGAGUAUUCACCUUGCCCGGGAGGGUUGGGUAAUCUUUUGAAAACGCUUCGUGAUGGGGAUAGAUUAUUGCAAUUAUUAAUCUUCAACGAGGAAUUCCUAGUAAGCGCGAGUCAUCAGCUCGUGCUGAUUACGUCCCUGCCCUUUGUACACACCGCCCGUCGCUCCUACCGAUCGAAGAGUUAGGUGAAUUGUUUUGAUCGAUAAGAUUUGACUAUGGUCAACUCUCGUUGUGAAAUUCUGUGAAUCUGACUGUUUAGAGGAAGGAAAAGUCGUAACA